rnacentral:lncRNA from 1 species
CUGAAACAGCCCUCCUGGCUCCUUGUCACUCAAAGGAAAAGGCAAACUCCUCAAGACUGCACAUAAUGCCCACCUUCCCAACCAGCCUCUCCUACUGCCACUCUCUCUCCUACACCCUACCUUCCAAACCCUACUUGGGGUUCACCCUCACAUGCUGGAGUUUUCCCAUCUCUGAGACUUCAUUCAGGCAGUUCCUUCUGGCUUCGGAGGCUUCUUUGUUCCUAAAGUUCAUACUUUAAGACCUAGCUGAAAUAUCAAGGCUUCCUGGACUCUGCAGGUGACACGAGCCACUGUGCUCCUGGAUGCUUCAGAACCUGUGCAGAUCUCUGUCUUCACUCCUACUAUGGCAUCUCCUAGCAUGUUCUACACUGAGCUCCACUGGGCCUUGCAUGUCAGUAUCCCGAAUUCUGAAUGAAGCUUGGAACAUGGGAGGUGCAUCCACUAACAACAUGAAGAAUGAAGACAUGUAUUGACUACCUUUGACAAAAGUAUGUCAAAAGCAAUACAUCUUACUAGUGGAGCGAAGACACUGCAUGCUGACAAAGGUGAUCUCAGAUGUGAGGUCGAUGGUGCGCCAUGCAAUCAGCUUGCUGAGUGAGCCUACUUAUGCCCCAUCCCGGGGGCCUAGGGUAAGAAAAGUGCCAAGCGAAGCUGAGGAUCAGACUAAAGCUGGAAGGUGAGUCAAAGCUUGAGUCCCUCAGCAUUACCCUGCCCAGGCAGCAACUUCAGCCUCAUGGUCUUUUAGCCCUAAAACUUAGGACUAGCUCAGUGGGAGUUUUACAUUCCUUGGCUUGACAAAUGAAAAAGGUAUUGGUAGUCAGAGGGGAAAAAGGCUAAAAUAACUCAAAGUUCUAUCUGAAUCCAUGUGGAGGGUCAGGAAAAAUGCAUGGGUUUGGGGAGCCAGAAAGACCCCAGAAAUCCUCCUAACUUCCGAUAUGAACUUAGGCGAGCAUCUCACCUAUCUGCACCCCAGUUCCUUCAUUUGUAAAGUGGAGGGAAUAACAUCUACCUCAUGGGACUGUGACAAGUUACAAGUGAGCUCGUAUAACAUGAAG